rnacentral:rRNA from 1 species
AUGGUGUCACAGGUCGUGGUCGCCCUCUACGUCUUUUGCAAGUCAUGGCCUGUCGGGCAGAAGAGGUUACUGCAGGCCGCGAUCUUGUUGUUCGUCGUCGGCAUUUUUAGAUCCAUCCAGAAGCCAUUGGCUAUGAAGAGCGCCAGUAUUAGUAACAUAGUCUCUUCUUUGUCACUAUCCCCGAGGGAGCAAAACGAGCUCGCAUGGGUCUGCGAAAAAUUAUGCUAUUGCUCAUUCCCGGGAAUUUUAUACAUAACUACAGAAGAAGAAAGAGCUAAACAGGAGGACAUCUCGCUUGAAGAAUUUGUACAAGAAGCAAUCAGGAGUUUGCCAGAGUUGGCCAGUGAUCAAGACCAAGCUGAACUCAUAGCAUCAUGUGAUCCGUGGGCGGUUAAUGUCUCCCAGCCGCUGGUAGACAUAUCAGCUCUAUACUCUGACCGGAUAAAAAACCUACAACAUUUUAUGGCCCUUGAUUACCAACAUGCCCAUAGUAUGUCGAGAGAACAGCUUACUGAGUUGUUUUUGUUCCUCUACACAAAACUACCUAACAUAGUGGUUUGCUUUUUCUGUUGUCAUCUUUGGCUUCCAUUCUUGACCUUAGCUUCUGCCGUCCUCUUCUCCACAUACCACAAAUAUCAUGAAUACAACGCAACAGAUGUCAAGGUAACUUACAUCUUGUUUUGGUCGACCGCGUUGCUGGAUUUCCUAUUCCUCUUCAUCAGUGUUUUCAUCAUGGAGAUGGAAACAGAAAAGGUUUCGCAACAUAACCUCUUGUCAUUUUGUGCUCGUAAGAAGCGACCCACUUUUCUUAUGAAGCUUGCCACACUUGUCUGCUACAAAGACUAUGUUAACAUGCAUUGUUAUAUAGAACAUGCACCAACAACGUCCUAA